CAUGUACUUUACGUGACUGCAAAGCAAUUGUCGAGUAGGUCAAACAUCAUAACCUUGUUCAGAUUUUUCUGCUUCUAUAACUUUUUGUUUUAAAUAUUUUUAAUACUUUCUAUUUAAUUUUGUUCUUUCUGGUAACAAAUUCGGGCAAUUAUAGAUCAUAUAUAUUUGACUUGCUCUUCUUUCGUUUUUGUAUUGUGCGUUGCCAACCGAAUAAAAACUAGUGUUUUUUAGUUAUGUAACAAGAGUAGGCAACCCAACAUAAUUUAAGAGCACUGCCAUUUGUGCACAGAUUACUAAAUAUUUGUUUAAUUUUUAUUUGAAGCAAGUGAAAUUAAUUUAAAUGAAGGUCAAAUAUAUAAUUAUUAUCCAUAAAUUUGGAAAGUCCAACCACAAUCAAUUACAACUUUAAUGCACAAACCAGUUAUUUACGGUAAACUGCGUGACAUUAAAAGUUUGAUAAUUGUUAUCAAUCCUCACCUGUCAAAAAUCUUAAUCACCUCUAUGUCCAUAAGUACAUAUAUACAACAAUCACUUCACUCUAAAAGUCUGUAGGGAAGCAAUAGUGCAAGUGAUCGUAUCUUGAUUGACAAUUCCGCAGUAAAGGCUUAUAAGCAAAAUGUCUGCCUUCGACAACGAACGUGAACAAAACCCUCCAGAAGACGAACAGUACGAUGAACAAGACAACAGUGGAGACUCCAAUGAAGCACAUUCAAGAUCUCGUCGGGCUCUUAUCGACACACCCACCGUUGAGUUUGAUCAAUAAUUUAUUUUGAAAAAUUCAAUCGUAUAUUCUCUCAUUAUUUAACGCAUCGAUAAAAACUAAACAACAAUCAGUCCGCGGUUACGAGAAAAUGAAAUAAGUAUUCAUAAAUAGCGACGCAACAUUAAGAGGAGGAAGAGUAUGUUGGGUUGCCGAGUUUUCAAAAAAUUAAACAAAUUGCGGUUAUUUCAAGUUCAAGUAUGAUGAACAAACACCAUAGGAAUUCGAUGUUUAAAGACCACGCCCAAAACUAAUCUUUUUAUUUCACACCAAACUGAUAAACGAUAAUUAAGUAUAUAAGAUGAAACACCUGCCGACAAUCCAUAUCAUUUCGAGUGCGUUACUUCCAACGACCACAUUACAUAACCUUCAAAACUACUCAAACAAACAUGGCUGAGAAUAAUCAAACUGAUGGUUCACUUAAUGAAAAUACUCCGAAAACAAAAACCACAUCUGAAGACCAAAAUGAAAGUGAUGAAACAAAUGAAAUAAAUGAAGAUGAAAACAGUCAGGAUAGUACAAAAAAACGAUGAAGAACCAAAUCAAGAUGAAGAAAAAAUGGUUAAAAGAAGAACACGCAGGGCAAUUAUAGACGCACCAGAAAUGAUAUUUGAUUAAUAUUAAUUUGAUACCGUAUUUCAUAAUCUAUCAGCUCUGAUACUUGUACAUUUAUAAAACAAGAAUUAACGAGAAUAUACGUAAGUUAUUACUUUUGUAAAGUAAAAUCAUAUUUUGCGAUUGUUGCUUUUAUUUCAAACCUUAAUAGGUACUAUAAAUGCCUAUAUUAAUAUGUUUGUUUGUUAGUUACACUUUCUCGCAAGUAUUACUGAACCAAUUUUAAUUAAACUUUUCAAUAUUGUAGCUUAAUAAUCAAAAUAGGAUUGUUAGCGAAAUGCGUAACGUAGGCAACCAACAACACAACAUACAUUACAUUAUUUUUCCCGCGCAACACCGGCGCACUGCGUGCGCCCGGGCAGUAGCUAAGUACAAGCAGAGCGCAGCAGACGCAGAUUAAGAGACGCCUUAUUCAAUAAACGCUAUUCAACAUUCUUUUACAAUUACAA